rnacentral:rRNA from 1 species
CCUACGGGUGACAGCAGUGGGGAAUAUUGCACAAUGGGGGGAACCCUGAUGCAGCGACGCCGCGUGGGUGAAGGAGCGUUUCGGCGCGUAAAGCCCUAUCGGCAGGGAAGAAGAAGGACGGUACCUGACGAAGAAGCCCCGGCGAACUACGUGCCAGGAGCCGCGGUAAUCCGUAGGGGGCAAGCGUUAGCCGGAUUUACUGGGUGUAAAGGGGGCGCAGACGGCAGCGCAAGCCAGGGGGGAAAGCCCGGGGCCCAACCCCCGGACUGCUCUUGGAACUGCGCGGCUGGAGUGCAGGAGGGGCAGGCGGAAUUCCUGGUGUAGCGGUGAAAUGCGUAGAUAUCAGGAGGAACACCGGUGGCGAAGGCGGCCUGCUGGACUGCGACUGACGUUGAGGCCCGAAAGCGUGGGGAGCAAACAGGAUUAGAUACCCUUGUAGUC